GACGAACGCUGGCGGCGUGCUUAACACAUGCAAGUCGAACGGAAAGGCCCUGCUUUUGUGGGGUGCUCGAGUGGCGAACGGGUGAGUAACACGUGUGUAACCUGCCCUUGACUUUGGGAUAACUUCAGGAAACUGGGGCUAAUACCGGAUAGGAGCUCCUGCUGCAUGGUGGGGGUUGGAAAGUUUCGGCGGUUGGGGAUGGACUCGCGGCUUAUCAGCUUGUUGGGGGAGUAGUGGCUUACCAAGGCUUUGACGGGUAGCCGGCAUGGGAGGGUGACCGGCCACCUUGGGACUGAGAUACGGCCCAGACUCCUACGGGAGGCAGCAGUGGGGAAUAUUGCACAAUGGGCGGAAGCCUGAUGCAGCAACGCCGCGUGCGGGAUGACGGCCUUCGGGUUGAGAACCGCUUUCGCCGGUGACGAAGCGUGAGUGACGGUAAUGGGUAAAGAAGCACCGGCUAACUACGUG
rnacentral:rRNA from 1 species